ACUCCUACGGGAGGCAGCAGUAGGGAAUCUUCCACAAUGGGCGCAAGCCUGAUGGAGCAACACCGCGUGAGUGAAGAAGGGUUUCGGCUCGUAAAGCUCUGUCGUUAAAGAAGAACACGUAUGAGAGUAACUGUUCAUACGUUGACGGUAUUUAACCAGAAAGUCACGGCUAACUACGUGCCAGCAGCCGCGGUAAUACGUAGGUGGCAAGCGUUAUCCGGAUUUAUUGGGCGUAAAGAGAGUGCAGGCGGUUUUCUAAGUCUGAUGUGAAAGCCUUCGGCUUAACCGGAGAAGUGCAUCGGAAACUGGAUAACUUGAGUGCAGAAGAGGGUAGUGGAACUCCAUGUGUAGCGGUGGAAUGCGUAGAUAUAUGGAAGAACACCAGUGGCGAAGGCGGCUACCUGGUCUGCAACUGACGCUGAGACUCGAAAGCAUGGGUAGCGAACAGGAUUAGAUACCCCUGGUAGGAUAGCG
rnacentral:rRNA from 1 species